rnacentral:rRNA from 1 species
AUUGAACGCUGGCGGCAGGCCUAACACAUGCAAGUCGAACGAGUGGCGGACGGGUGAGUAAUGUCUGGGAAACUGCCCGAUGGAGGGGGAUAACUACUGGAAACGGUAGCUAAUACCGCAUACCAUCGGAUGUGCCCAUAGGGGAUUGGCUAGUAGGUGGGGUAACGGCGCACCUAGGCGACGAUCCCGAGCUGGUCUGAGAGGAUGACCAGCCACACUGGGACUGAGACACGGUCCAGACUCCUACGGUAGGCAGCAGUGGGGAAUAUUGCACAAUGGGCGCAAGCCUGAGGCAGCCGGGCCGCGUGUAUGAAGAAGGCCUUCGGGUUGUAAAGUACUUUCAGCGGGGAGGCGUUACUCGCAGAAGAAGCACCGGCUAACUCCGUGCCAGCAGCCGCGGUAAUAC